GCAGCAGCUAGGGAGGAAGCGGAGGAGGCGGAGGCGGCCGCGGGGUUCGCCCGUCUGCUCGUUCACCGGCUUUCCCCGCCCCUGCCGCUCUCGCUGCCGCUGAAAGGAGCUGGGGGCGCGCUGUCGCAACCUGCCCUCGGCUUGGCUGGCGGCAGUUGAGACCCGACCUGCCUGUACAUCAGCCUUCCUGUCCGGGCGGCCGCGGCGUGGGCUCGCGGGCGCCUGAAGGUUACCGAGUGCAUGAAUGCCUAGCGCCUCUCGCGCUGUCCCGCCCGCCGGGUCGUCCGCCCGCCAGUCCGCCGGCUUCCCCGCAAGCUCCUCGGCACCCGGCGGCGGCGGCGGCGGCCGCCACGGCGACAACGGCCGCAGGAGGCGCCGUCUCCCGCCCAGGUGCACGUUUAGCUCCCGGCGCCUCGGAACUCGGCCGCCGCCAUGGCGUCCAACAUGGACCGCGAGAUCAUCCUGGCGGAUUUUCAGCCAUAUUACAUUUGUCAUCUGACACCAAGAUUUGGCCAAGGAAAUGCAAAUGCAAGAUUCUGUGAUCAUGGAAAGGGUUUGGAAUACUUCACUCCAAGUUCAUCUUAACUUGAGAGUUUGGGCUGAAAAGUCUGCCAUGAAUCUAAUGGAUUUUCCUUGAUAGAAAGCUCCUUGGCAUUCAUUCUCUGUUGCUGUUUCUGAAGUUCCUCUGCAGAUAAUUCUGACUAUUCCUCCAUUAGUUCCUCACAACCACCAGUGUCUACCUGCAAGCCUACCAACUCUGAAAUAAUGACAAUGUCUUCAACCACAGCUGCUAGAGGCCAGGCCACAGUGACGCCACAUCUCUGCAGCCCAGGACCCAGAGGCUGAGAAACCGUACUCCAGGAGGCUUGAGGCUGUGCUGGGCAGGAAAGGAAUGAAGCCAGGAGAACCUCAAAGUCCAGCCUGCUAGGAACCGACACCAAUAGAUGAGCAAGGAGUCCUGAAGCUUCAGUGAACAUGAUGAAGACAGAGGCGGUUCUGCACGCAGCCCUGAGCUCUGAAAGUAGCCUGCACACCUAUGACAUCGUGGCUGUGGUCAUCUACUUUGUCUUCGUCAUGGCUGUGGGGAUCUGGGCAUCAAUCCGUGCAAACCGAGGGACCAUUGGUGGUUAUUUCCUGGCAGGCAGGUCCAUGAGUUGGUGGCCGAUUGGAGCAUCUCUGAUGUCCAGCAAUGUGGGCAGUGGCUUGUUCAUCGGCCUGGCUGGCACAGGGGCUGCUGGGGGCCUCGCUGUGGGUGGCUUUGAGUGGAACGUAAGGAAACUCUCAUGGCUGCUCCAGGACAAUGAGGCAACCUUCCUGCUUGUGGCCCUUGGUUGGAUCUUUGUCCCUGUGUACAUUGCAGCUGGUGUGGUCACUACGCCACAGUACCUCAAGAAGCGAUUUGGGGGUGAAAGGAUCCAGGUGUAUAUGUCUGUCCUGUCUCUCAUCCUCUACAUCUUCACCAAGAUAUCGACUGACAUCUUCUCUGGAGCCCUCUUCAUCCAGAUGGCUUUGGGCUGGAACCUCUACCUCUCCACAGGGAUCCUGCUCGUGGUGACAGCUAUCUACACCAUCACAGGGGGCCUCACGGCCGUGAUCUACACAGAUGCUCUGCAGACAGUGAUCAUGGUAGGGGGAGCCCUGGUCCUCAUGUUUCUAGGCUUUCAGAAGGUAGGCUGGUACCCAGGCCUGCAGCAGCUCUACAGCCAGGCCCUUCCUAAUGUCACAGUCCCCAACACCACUUGUCACCUCCCACGGCCAGAUGCCUUCCACAUGCUUCGUGACCCCGUGAGCGGGGACAUUCCCUGGCCAGGGAUCAUUUUUGGGCUCACAGUACUGGCUACCUGGUGUUGGUGCACAGAUCAGGUCAUUGUGCAGAGGUCUCUGUCUGCCAAGAAUCUGUCCCAUGCCAAAGGAGGCUCAGUGCUGGGGGGCUACCUGAAAAUCCUCCCCAUGUUCUUCAUCGUCAUGCCUGGCAUGAUCAGCAGGGCCCUGUACCCAGAUGAGGUGGGCUGUGUGGAUCCUGAUGUCUGCCAAAGAGUGUGUGGGGCCCGCGUGGGAUGUUCCAACAUCGCCUAUCCCAAGCUGGUCAUGGCUCUCAUGCCCAUAGGUCUGCGGGGCCUGAUGAUCGCAGUGAUCAUGGCGGCCCUCAUGAGCUCCCUCACCUCCAUCUUCAACAGCAGCAGCACCCUGUUCGCCAUCGACGUGUGGCAGCGUUUCCGCAGGAGGGCCACAGAGCAGGAGCUGAUGGUGGUGGGCAGGGUGUUUGUGGUGUUCCUGGUGGUCGUCAGCAUCCUCUGGAUCCCCAUCAUCCAGAGCUCCAGCAGCGGGCAGCUCUUCGACUACAUCCAGUCUGUCACUAGCUACCUGGCACCGCCCGUCACUGCUCUCUUCCUGCUGGCCAUCUUCUGCAGGAGAGUCACAGAGCCUGGAGCCUUUUGGGGCCUCAUGUUUGGCCUGGGAGUGGGCCUUCUGCGCAUGAUCCUCGAGUUCUCUUACCCAGCCCCAGCUUGUGGUGAGGUGGACCGGAGGCCAGCCGUGCUGAAGGACUUCCACUAUCUGUACUUUGCCCUGCUUCUCUGUGGGCUCACUGUGAUCGUCAUUGUCAUCAUCAGCCUCUGUACGACACCCAUCCCUGAGGAAAAGCUCACUCGCUUGACCUGGUGGACACGAAACUGCCCCACCUCUGAGCUGGAGAAGGAGGCCUGUGAAAGCCAGAGCGAGAGGGAGAGUGUGCCAGGGAGGUCUGAGAGACUGGUCCAGGAAAGCCUCUCAGGAAGAGUCGCCCCAGGGAACUGCAGCCAGGGCCCAGAGCAGCCCGGAGAGAAUCAGCAAGAGAAGACGCUCCACUGACAGGCAGCAGGUGGAGGUUCCGGGGAGCAGAGUGUCUCCUUCUUGACCGCAGGAGGUGCUACUGUCCACUGCUGUGUGAGCACUGCUGAACACCUGCCAGCAGUGAGGCCACCAUUUGAAAGGCCUGAAGGAAUGUUUCUAUGGAUUCCAGAGGGCAAGUGAGUGAUCAGGUGAAAUGCAUGGCAGUGAUGAUAGCAGAGACACGAAAUGAAUACUGCUGGGAAUGGCUGGUUAUUGUGCAGUACCUGGAAGUGCUAUGGCGCUAUUUUUUGCCCAUGUGGCAAAGCAAGUCCCCCUUCCUCCUUCCUUUUAGGCUCUGGUAAUCACCACUCUAUUUCCUUGUUGUGUAUAUUUGACUAUGCUAAUUUCCUGUAUUUCAUAUGUCAUUCUGUAUCUGACUGAUUUCACUUAAUAUAGUAUUCUUCCUGUUCAUCUAUGUUGUUGCAUUUGAUAAAAUUUUCUGCUUUUUAAGUGUUAAGUAAUACUAUAUUAUAUGUAGAUAUAUAAUAUAUAUUAUAUGUAGAUUUUGCUUAUUCAUUCCUUCAUUCAUUAAUGAACGUAGGGUUGUUUCCAUGUUUUUGUAACUGUCAAUGAUGUUGCUAUGAAUGAGUGUACACAUAUCUCAUUGAGCCCCUCCAAUCAGUUAAUUGACUAUAGAUCCAUGAGAGGAAUUUCUGGAUUAUAAGUUAAUAUUUUAAAUUUUUAAAGGAGUCACUGUAUCAUUUUCCAUAGCAGCCACCCUAUUUACAUUCUCAGUAACAUCAUACAAGACUUUCAGUUUCUCCACACACUUCCCACAGUUGUUUUAUUUUCUGUGUAUUCACCAUCCAAAUAGAAGUUAAAUGACAGGUAUAAAAUGGUAAGUCUUAUAGUUUUGAGUUGUAUUUUAAUAAUGAUUAGCAACUUUAAAACUCUGUGGGUAUGUGUGCCAUUGGACAUUUGUAUAUUUUGUUUGGAGAAAUGUUUAUUCUUGACUUUAGCCUAUUUUUAAAUAGAAUUGUUUUUUGUUGAGUUUUAGGAAUCCUCCUUAUAUUCUAAAUAUCAAUACCUUAUCAGACACACGAUUUAUAUGUUUAUUUUUCCAUUCUAUGGGUUGCCUUAUUAUUUCAUUGGUUAUGUGUUUUCAUAUAUGAAAAUUUUAAGAAAAGUCCAAUUUGACCAUAUUACCUUUUGUUAUACAUGCCUUUGGUAUUAUAUGAAAGAAAUUAUUGCCAAAUUCGAUUCAAAUUUUUGUCUUUGUAUGCUUGUCUAGUUACUAUUCUCUCACUUAUGAUACCCAAAAACAGUGAAAGACACUCUAGAUAGACAUAGGGGAAAAACCACUAAGCAAGCAAACAAUUAAACAGAGUAAAAAGGCAAAGAAUCAACAGCAGUAAGAUAACAUAAAAAAUAAACCAAUACAUAUCAGUUAUAAUCAUUAAUGUAAAUGGCCUCAAGUCACCAAUUAAAAGAAACAGACUGGAAGAAUUAAUCAAGAAACAACAUCCAAACAUAUGCUGUCUACCAAAAAACCCAUCUAAACCAAAGGGAAACUCAGAGACUGAAAGUCAAAGGAUAGAAAGCUAUAUUUUAUGUAACAGAAUCCCCCCAAACAAGCAGGGGUAGCUAUUUUGUUUGCAGACAGUAUGAACUUCAAACCCAGAAUGAUCCAAAGAGAGAAAAAAAUGUCACUGCAUACUGUUAGGGGAAAACCUCAAGAGGAAGAGAUGAUAGUCUUAAAUAUAUGUACCAAAUUUGGGAGUUCCCAGCUAUACAAAACUAGUAUUAACAGAAAUGAAAAAUUAAAUAAGUAAUAACACAAUUAAAACAGGAGACCUUAACAUACCAUUGACACAAAGUGACAGAUCAAGUAGUCAGAAAAUCAGCAAAGAAAUAACACAACUGAAUCACAGCUGUGAACAAAUGAGUGUUCCACCCAACAAUAUCAAAAUAUACAUUCUUCUCAGCAAUACAUGGAACAUUCUAUAAAAUAUAUAAAAGAUAAAUACAUAUAAUAGGCCACAGAACAUGCUUAAGUAAAUGCAAAAGAGUUGAAAUUUUCCCAUGCAUAUUUUCAGAUCAUAGUGCCAUGAAACUAGAAAUUAAUAACCACACAAACACAUGGAAAAUAAAUGACACACUCCUGAGCAAUCAGUGGGUUAUCGAGGAAAUUAUAGAAAAAUUAAUAUCUACAAGCAAACAAAAAUACAAAUACAAUUACGAGAAUCUGUGAGAUUCAAUGGAAGCAAUCCUCAGAGGAAAAUCUAUUGCACUGAGUUCCCACAUCAGGAAAACAGAACAAAUACAAAUAAACAACCUGAUGAUACACCUCAAACAUCUAGAGAAAGAUGAGGAAGCCUAGCCCAAAGACAAAACAAGGGAGGAAAUUAUAAAGCUCAGAGAAGAAACCAAUGCAAUAGAGACUCAGAAAACAAUACAAAGAAUCAAUAAAUCUGGCAGGUGGUUCUUUGAAAGAAUAAAUAAAAUUGAUAAGCCCCUAGCCAACCUUACCAAAAAAAGGAAAGGAAAACUCAAAUUCAUGCAAUAAACAAUGAAAAGGUUGAAAUUAUGAGAAUAGAGAUAGAGAAGAUCAUCAAUAGCUAUUUCAGAAACAUCUAAUCUCAUACCAUUGAUAAUACAGAAGAAAUGGACAGUGUUAUGGAUUAAGAACUUGUGGUCAAAUCAAGGCCAGCUGGAUUACAUCAGCAUGGCAUUGAGCGAAGAUGCUCCACCUGAAGAAAGUUGCCAGGAUAAAUAGGUGGAGAAGAAGGGAGGUGGGGAAGGUUGAGGCUUUCAGGUGGCAUUGUGGGUUCACCUAUGAGUUUCUGUCUGUGCUGUUGGAUCUCCUGGAGAAGGUUUGGUCCUCACAUGGAGCAUUGCUUCCUGGUUCUGGAGGGGAAGACAUGUGCUGCUUGGUCUCCAGGAUGACCUCGUCACGCUGCUUCCUGAUAUGUACCCCAUUGAGCUUGUCGGAGGAGGAGCUGAUGCCUCCGUGUCGCUGAAGAUGGCUGUGGUGCCUUUCAGGAUAGCUCCGGUCUUUGUUGUCAGUGUGACUUCUCGAUUCCAGCGUAGAACCCUCAUCCCACCACCACAGCUCCUUCAUCCUGCUGGCAUAGACUUUCUAGCUUCCACCGCUGACCGUUGUGUCUUCCCCACACGGAUCCAUAAAAGAGACUGGCGUGAGUCCUUCUUGUGGGCUUUGGGCCUCCAGUUGGACUUGUGAGAGGCAUUGUACUGAGGUCUGGGUUUUUAUCUGGACUCAUGUGGGACAUGUGCUGUAGGGUUUAGGCUCUUGACUAAAUAAUCUAUGUCUUUGGUGAGGUGUAUAGAUUUCCUGCAUUUUCCUGUGUUACUCCCGGUGACCAUUAUAAAAAUAUUAUAAACUCCGUGUCCUGAACCUAAUUGUUCUCUCUGUACAACUCCUGACUACAACAGACAGAUUUCUAGAAACAUAUAAGCAACCAAAGCUGGAUCAAGAAGACAUAAAACUGCUAAAUAUCCCAAUUCCAAUUAACAAAAUUGAAAAUGUAAUUAAAUCCUUAUCAAUAGAGGAAAGCACUGGUCCAGACAGAUUCACUGCAGAAUUUUACAAGAAAUUCAAAGAAGAUUUAAUGCCAACACUCUUUACACUCUUCAAUGAAAUUGAAAGGGAAGCAAUUCUCCUGAACUCAUUCUUGGAAACAAACAUUAAUACCAAAACCUAAGAACCAAAACCAAAAAAGGAGAACUACAGGCCAAUCUCCCCAAUGAACGUAGAUGCAACAAUUCUCAAUAAAAUAUUGGCAAACAGAACGCAGCGAAUCAUCAAGAAGAUUAUACACCAUGACCACGUGGGAUUCAUCUCAGGAGUACAGGGAUGGUUCAACAUAUGCAAAUCAAUAUAUACAAUCCAACAUCUCAAUAGAGCCAAAAAUAAGAAUCACAUGAUCAUUUCUAUAGAUGCAGAAAAAGCUUUUAAUGAGGUCCAACACUUGUUCAUAUUGAGAGCCUUACAAAAAAAUUGGAAUAAGUGGUAUUUACCUCAAUAUGAUAAAAGCCAUCUAUGAAAAACCAACAUCAUAUUAAAUUAUUAUAUUAAAUUAUAUCAUAUUAAAUUGCCAAAAACUGAAUGCCUUUACCCUAAAACCCGAAACAAGACAAGGAUGUCCAUUAUCACCACUCCUAUUGAAUAUAGUUUUGGAAACAUUAGCCAGAGCAAUUAGACAUUACAGAGAAAUAAAAUUAAGGAGAGGAAAAGAAGAAUUUAAAUUAUCAUUAUUUGUAGGUGAUGUGAUAGUCUACAUAGAAAACCCUCAUACUCCAUUGAAAGACUCCUAGGUAUAAUAAAUAAAUUCAGUAAUGUAUCUAGAUACAAAGUCAGCACUCAAAAGUCAAAUAGCAUUCCUAUGCAUGUUAUCAGAUCAUAGUGCCAUGAAACUAGAAAUUAAGAACAAAAUCACAGAGAGAGAAACAACAGAAGCUACACCCUACAUAAUAACAUCAGAAAAAUGAAAUACUUAGGAAUUAAUCUACCAAAAGAAGCAAACGACCUAUUCAGAGAAAAUAAUUAUAUCAAAAGGACCUCAGAAAAUGGAAAGACAUCCAUUAGUCGUGGAUAGGAAGAACAAAAAUUGUGAAAAUGGCCAUUCUCCCAAAAUUGUUAGACAGAUUUAAUGCAAUUCCAAUCAAAAUAACACUAGCAUACCUCACAGAUCUAGAGAAGUCUCUCCUAAAAUUCACCUGGAACCAGAAGAGACCUAGAAUAGCAAAGGAAAUUCUAAGCAGCAAAGGCAAGGCGGGAGGCAUCACAAUCCCUGAUUUGAAGCUCUGCUACAAAGCUACUGUAAUAAAUUCAGAAUGGUACUGGGAUAAAAACAGCCCUGAAGGUCAGUGGAAUAGAUUAGAAGAUACAACUACAACUACAAACACACUCAGCCACCUUAUCUUUGGUAAAGGUGCCAAACACAUUCACUGAAAGAAAGACAGUGUCUUUAAUAAAUGGUGCUGGAAAAAUUCGUCACCAUAUGCAGAAAACUAAAACUAAACCCAUGACUAUCACCAGGUACUGAGCUAAAGUAUAAAAGCAUCAAAGAUCUAAAUAUUAAAACAGAAACACUAAAUCUGUUGAAAUACCAAGUAGGUAAAAAUCUCAAAGACAUAGGGGUAGAUAGGUAGGUAGAAUCUUGAACAAGAAUCAAACUGUGUGUGAAAUAGUUCACAGGUUCAGUAACUCGGUUCACGUCCCAUUAAAGAGUUUUUGCAUGUCAAGAGAAAUUUCCAACAUAGUUAAAACCCACAAAUUGGGAUACAAUCUUAGUGAACUGUCCCUCAGAUAAAGGUCUUCUGUCUAGAACACAUUAAGAAUUUUUAAAAAUCAAGUUCCGCUAAUUCAAAGACCUUAUCAAAAAAUGGGCAUCUGUGAUGAAUACAUUGUUUUCAAAUAAAGAAAUAGAAAUGGCAAAUAAAUACAUUAAAAAUGUUCAGCAUCACUGGUCGUUGCAGAAAUACACAUUAAAACAAUACUGAGAAUCCAUCUCACCUUAGAAAGAAUGGCCAGGAUAAAGAAAACUACCAACAACAAAUGCUGGAGAGGUUGUGGGGAAAAAGGAACUCUCCUGCACUGUUGGUCGGAGUGCAUACUGGUGCAACCACUGUGGAGGUCAGUCUGAAGAUUUCUCAAAAACCUGAGAUUGGAGGUCCCAUUUGACAAGCUAUUCCACUUUGGGCAUAUUCCCAGACGAACUGAAAGCAUCAUAUCACAGUGAUGUGUGUGCACCCAUGUUUAUAGAAGCACAAUUUGUGAUAUCUUGGAAACAACAUAAAUGCCCAUCAAUUGAGGAAUGGCAAAAAAAAAAAAAAGAUGUGUUAUUUUUAUACAAUGGAAUAGUACUCAACUAUAAAGAAUGUUCACAUUGAGAUAUUUAUAAGUAAAUGGAUGCAACUUGAGACCAUACUCAUAAGUGAAAUAAAUCAAACUCACAUGUGUAAACAUCAUAUAGUCUCCCCAGAGUAAGAAAUGGUAAGUGUACAUAAGGUACAGAAUACUCAACAAAUACAGUGAAGGAAAAAGUAUCUGCUUAAAAGGGAAAAAGUAGUAUCUUAGGGAAAAUGAUCAAAAAGAACAAGGAAGGGAAAAGAAAACUAUCUAAAAUUAUAUAAACACACAUAGGGUAGCAAAAAUGAUAGUUCCACAAAUUCUGUAAGUUUUUGGAACAAAAAGUUAACAUUCAGAGGAUUGGAAACAUUGUGCACAUUGCUGUAUGAUCUGAGUAAACUUUGGAAGAUCAUUAUGUAGCAUAAGAGCUCUAGAUAUGCACAUACCACCUUGUUUGGAAGGCCUGUAAUGUCAGCGUUUUGGGCUCUUUGCUUUGUUAUUUAUUUGUCUUUUUUGUUUUUUGAUUUUCUAGGAAUUUGUUUUGUUUUUUGUUUCCCUCUAAUCCAAAAAGAUAGAUAAACAUGUAGAGACUUAUACCUGCAGAACUUUUCCUAAACAGUUUAUGAGAAUCAAUUAUAUAGUGCAUGAUGAAAUGAACAGCUAUUUUGAAGAAAAAGAGACACUGCGGUAUCCAGUGCUGAUUCCCUAGCAUCAUGCUGUGAAAUCCAGCAAUACUAUUAUUCUUUGUUCAGAGUGAUUUUAGUCUGCUUGGUAUUGCUUAAUUUCAACACACAUGAAGGAAGGACUGUUAUGUUGAAGAGAACGCGAGACAUUAUGGCGGCCAAUAUUGAUUUCCGAAUUGUCUGUUUUUUUGUUUUGUUUUUUGUUUUUGUUUUUUUUUUGUGUGUGUGUGUGUGUGUGUGUGUGUGUUUGUUUUUGUUUUCUUGUACCGGGAAUCAAAAUCACGACUGAGUACGUGCAAAGCAGGUGCUUAUACCACUGAGCUAAAUUCCCAGCCCCUAUUGUCUGGUUUUGAGGGCCUACAAUGCUUUAUUCAUUCAGUUCUGAUCAGUUUAAUAGUAUUUUGUUUUGUAUGCAUUUGCUGUGUGUGAAGAUAUGGAGAACUAUUUGGAAGAAAACAAGAGACAGUAUGAUAGCCAGGGACCUGCUUCACAAUCUGUUACUUACACAGCUUUCUUCUGAUCUGCAUAGUUCUGUUUCAUUUUGUUUAGUUUUCUUCUCUUUAAAAUAAAAUUAAAAAAUAAAAUAAAAUAUUGGAAUGCCUUUCUCACUUACCUUUGUGUAUCUAGGCAUAGAUAUUUUGCCUGUGGUUACUAUGGGAAUUACAAUUAACAUUUUAAAGUUAAAACACAAUUCUGAAUUUAUACCAACUUAACAUCAGUAAUAUAUUUUUUUAAAAAACUGCUUCUUCUUUGCUUUUUCCUCCCCCUGCUCAGCUGCUGACAUUACAAUAUCUCAUCAAUAUAUGUUGUGUGCCCCAAAAUAUCAGUAGUUCUAUUAAAUAUAUUAGACUUUUGAACUACAUUGGAAAACGUGAAGUUAUAAAUAUUACAAUGACACCACUUUUAGAAUAAUAUUUUUAAAUGCUUGACUUCACACAUUAGGAAGGCUGAGUCUGGUAUUUCAACACAUACAUAAUUCCCUGAGAAAAUCCUCCCUCCCGUUAUUACUUUUACAUACUUCCCAACCCAUAAUAAUCACUGUGUAUUCAAAUAAACAGUUUAGUUCUCAUCUACGAAGGACUAAGUGUGGUAGUUGUUUCCUGAAUCUGGCUGAUUUCCCUCAACACACUAUGAUUUAGUUCUAUUGCAUCUUAAUGGGUUAAUAAUACUCUACUCUAGAUAAAUACCACAUUUCAUUAUCUGUCAAUUUAUCCAUAAGGCCUCUAGACUGAUUCUAUAUACUAUCUAUUGUUAAUAGUGUCAUGAUAAACACUGGUGUGCAGGUAUAACUUUUGUAUGCUGAUUUUAUUUUCCUAGAAUUUAUACUAAGUAAUGGGAAAGCUAGAUUAUAUGGUAAGUUUACUGUUAGUCGUUUUGAAGGUCCUUCAGCCUGUGCACCAUAAUAGCUGUGUGAAUUAUUUUCAAAGUAACAAUGUGUAAGACUUCUGUUUUCUCCACAACUUUAUCAUCAUUGACUUUUUAAAAAUAACAAAAACCAUUCUAGCUAUUGUGAAAUCAUAUUUAGUUUUCAUUUUUAUUUCAGUUUUCCUUCUGGCUAAUCGUAUCACGCAAUUGUGUAUGUUUAUUGACCGUUUGUAUAUCUUCUUUUCAGAAAUAUCUACUUAGGUAAUUUGAUCAUUUUUAAUUGGGUUUAUUUUGAUUUUUGUUACGUUUCUUUAAUUCCUUAUAAGCAUGGGGCAUUAAUUCUCUGUCAGAAGAAAUCAGAAAAUAUGUUUUCUUCUGCGCUUUAUCUUUUUGCCCCUAUUUUACAUACUGUACAGAAGCUUUUUAGUGUGAUGCAAUCCCAUCUGUCAAUUUUUGCUUUAUUUUCCUAAGCAUUUGGGGUUCUUUCUAGAAAAUUACUGCCUGUAUGUCUUGGUUACUUUCGUUUCAUUGCUGGAACAAAAUACCAGACACCCAAAAAAGAAGGAAGAAUUGGUUUAUUUGUCUCACUAUGGUGGUUUCGGUCCAUAAUCAGCUGGCUCCAAGGUAAGAUAGCAUUGCACAGGGCACACUUCAAGGGAGCUGCCUGCAAAAGCAGCCAGAGCAAAAGAGGGGGAGAUGAGCUUCUUUUCCUCCCAUAUAUUGUAUGCAGGCCACCCCUGCCCCCAGCACAGAUGCAGCACUCACAAAAUCUCUGUGCCCUCCUCUUGCACCAAAAGAGAAUAUUUACAAAAUAAGGUCCUGGCUCCCUGCUAAGUCUCAUACUUUUAAACUUCUCAAGUUGACACAGGGUAUCACCAGAAUGCUAUAGUAAGGCAUUGUAUACAUUGUUUUCUCUAGAUGAAAUGACUUUUAUUUACUUCCUAUAUCAGUUGUCAAGGACGACAUUGUCUUACACUUGAGACUAAAUCCUGUUAACUUGUACUUAUGUCUCUCAUGCAAACCAGAAACUCUUGCUAUGGGUUUUCAUUAAAUAUAGUUUUUCUUCUAUCUUUUUGUAGAUCAGUUAAAACUAUUUGAGUAAGUGAUUUCUAUAGUUGGGUUAUUUAAAAUAUAGUAUAAUUCUAAUGAAAUGAGGUUCUUUGUUCAAAACAUUUGCUUUCAAAGAGAUUAUGCUUUACCCCGUAAAGUAUGAAGUGGCAUUUCCUUAUAGAUCCUUUCUUGGCAUACUGUUAGCUUCAUACAUCUCAAAUUAAUAGUGUCAGCAUUUAAACACAUGCUCUACUUUGAGGAAAUGUUAUGGAGAAGAACAAUGCAAGUUGGUCUACUACUGAAGAUCAGGCCCACAACCUCCCAAAGAAAAGGAUGAUGAAGGUUUAAUUAAAAAGAGACUGGUGGUGUAGUUUAGGGUUCUGCGAUUAAAACCUUCCAGCAGAAUUUGAGAUUCUCUGGGGAUUGAGACAAAGAACUUAUUUAGGUGCUCCAUAUUUAUUUGGAUUUCAGACAAAGGAAGGAAAUACUGAGGAGAGUUUGGGCAGCUGAGCAGGACCAUCAGAGUCAGUUCAAAGACUUCUCCAAGUAGUAAAUUAUGCUAAUGAGGAGAACUAUCUUAACUCCAGGUUAUCAUUCAUGGCAGGGCAGGGGUGAGAUGCUGGAAACUACAGUCUCUAUCUAGUUAUUUGGGAUUGGAGCCUCAGCUGGGACAAGGGACUCACAGAGGUUCGCUUCCUGUGAAUCCACAGCCCUCCUCCAGACAAGGGGCUUAGGCCUGGGACAGACUCACAAGUAAACAUAGAAAGUAAAUUGAUUGACUUUCAAUCCUGCUCCGAGAUGCUUUCUAGUGGUCUCUAUUAUCCUGCAAUUAUAUUGAAAAUCAAGUGAUAACAAUGGAAAUUUCCCCUGACUUCCUAGAAAACGUCUAAGAAUAUAAUGUGCCAAAAUUUGGUAAGGAAAGAGCUGUCUACAUUAAUACUAUCCACAUGCUUUUUCGUUUUAAAAAUACCCUGUCAAGCUGAGCGUGAUAUCUCAUGUUAUAUCAGCAAUACUAAUAAUACGGGAAGAUAAAGCAGGAGAACCACAAAUUUGACCCAGUUUGGGCAGCUUACGGAGACCCUAUUCCAAAACAAUAAUAAUAAACGAAGCCAGGGAUAUGGCUCAGUGUGAAGUCCUGUACUUCAGUUCUGGUACCACAAACAACAAAACAAUAAUAUCCCCUCUGCUUUCAUUAAGAAUGGGUGAGUCGGGGCUAGGGGUUUAGCUCAGCGGCAUAAGCACCUGCCUUGCAAGCAGGCGGUCGUGAGUUCGAUCCCUGGUACCGAUAAAAAUGAAAAAAAAAAAAAAAGACAAAAAAAAGAAUGGGUGAGUCACAACCCAUUCCAUUAGGGGAAAAUCUAGAACAAAGCAUUUUCACCUGCUCUAAUCUCUUGUUGUGGGUCUUAGUUUUCCCUAACACUGAUUAUUUACACAUUUGUCAUCAACAGGAAGACGUGAGCUUUCUCUUUAUGUAUAAAAAAAGCAUGAUCACUAAGUAAAAACCGGUUUGCAAGCCCACAGGACUGCUGUGAAGUCAUUAUUGGAGGAGAAACCAGGUGAAGAAGCAAGCCCUCCUGUGAACCAGUGCCACGCAUGCGCCACCGUUGAAGUGGGGACCGCCAAACCCAAGCCUUUCGUCAUGAGUCAGUGCCAUUUGCACACUGAGGGGGUGGAGAGAACACGGCCUCACCAAGAAGUAAGCCCUCUCUGUGAACCAGCACCAUGUACAGGCUGUUACCACAGUGGGGACAACCAGACUCAAGCCUUUCUCCAUGAGUCAGCGCAUUUGUGGAAUGUGGUUGGAGGGAGGGACAGAACAAGGCCUUACCAAGAAGCAAGCUCUCCCUGCAAACCAGCACCAUGUGAGGGCUUCCACCAGAGUGGAAACGGCCAGGCCGCAGGCCCCUCCGGUGCACCUGCAAUAAAGAAGAGCCAAUCACCUUCCCACUCCUGUAAGCAACCAGCUGACCUAGAGAAACAAAGGCUGUGAUGCUAUUGCGGUGAAAUGCACUUUGAUGCUUGUGGUUUGUCAGUGUUUCACUGCCCUGGCAGGUGUAGGGCCAGUGAUCUGAUCAUCUAUUCACAGGAUGGCUGUAAGCAGUGUGGCAUCUGCUGUGGGAGGGUCUCCUUCUGAGGGUGGCAGCCAUUGUCAGUUCCCUAUUGUCUUGUUUUGAAGUCCUGUAUCAUUUUCAUUGUUUUGUUUGGUUGGGUUUUGUUCUGUUCGAACCCCCCCCCCCAUACCAGCAAUCAAAUUCAACCUUGUGCUUGCCAGGCAGGCACUUAUGCCAUUGAGCUAAAUCCCCAGCCCUGUUUUGUUUGAUUUUAUUAUGCCCAAGGGAAAGAGCAGCUGUUUCAAAGAUAGCAAGAUAUAUUGUGGUAACCAUAUGGGAUUUAUUAUUAUCUUGCUUUUAAGUCCUUUAUUGAAUUCAUUGUUUUGCUUUUGUUGGUUCCAUUCUGUUGUGUUUUGUUUGAUUUUCACUAAGUCUUUGGGUAUCUGAAGCUAUUUUGAGGACAGCUAGAGGCAUACUGUUAACUAUUGCUGAAUUCGUAUUCUUUUUAAGUAAGUACAACUUACAAAGGCUUGUUUUGAUUGAUUUUAUUCAUUUAUUCAAAUGGUAAUCACUUAUUUUACUUAGUUUUAUCCUCUUUAAAAUAAAGAAUAAGUAAAAAAUGAAAAAAGAAAUGCUGUAUAACUAUCUUAACUAUCUUGUGUACAGAUUUCUUUCCUUUUAACACAACCAUUUAUAUCUACAAAACUUCCCUUUACCACUAGUUUCUCUCUGUCCAAAUAUUUUGAUAUAUAGUGAUUUCAUUUUCAUUCAUCUUUAGUAUUUUUUAAAUUUAGUGGUUUUUUUCUUGUUCCACUGGUUGUUUAAGUGUGUUGUUUAAUUUCCAAAAAUUCCUGAAUUUUUCAGUUUUACUUUUAUUGAUUUCUAAACUCAUUGUAUUGUUAUCAAGGAAGACAAUUUGCAUGCUUUCUUUAUAAAUGUACUAAGAUACAAUCUAUCCUUGGAAAUGGCCAAUGUGUACUUGAGGAGAAUGUGUAUAGUGUUAUCAUUGAGUACAAUGUCUGAAAGACUUAGUUUUUCAGGUCAUGUAAAUCUCCAUUUCCUUAACUAUCUUCUGACCAGUUGUUCUAGCCACUACUGAGAAUAAGGUUUCGAAGUUUCCACCACCAUUAUGUGCCUCAAUUCUGUCAGUUUUGUUUUAUAUAUUUGGAUAAUCUGUCAGUAGUAAGAGAUUAUAUAUCAUUAUAUAUUC